rnacentral:rRNA from 1 species
UACGUAGGGGGCAAGCGUUGUCCGGAAUCAUUGGGCGUAAAGAGCGUGUAGGCGGCCCGGUAAGUCCGCUGUGAAAGUCCAGGGCUCAACCCUGGAAUGCCGGUGGAAACUGUCGGGCUAGAGUCCGGAAGAGGCGAGUGGAAUUCCUGGUGUAGCGGUGAAAUGCGCAGAUAUCAGGAGGAACACCAAUGGCGAAGGCAGCUCGCUGGGACGGUACUGACGCUGAGACGCGAAAGCGUGGGGGAGCAAACAGG